CACCCAAUCAGAUUUACUCUCUCUCUCUCUCACAUUCACUCUCUCACUCACGCUCUCCCUCUUCCACUCUCGACAUCUCUCUCUCACUUUCUCCUUCUUCACUUCUUCUUCUUCUUUGCAACAAACACCAUCACCAUACUUCUUCUUCCCUCCUUGGCCAAGCAGCCGCCACCCAUGGCCAACCACCGCCACCACCGCGCUCUCCUCACGCGAGCCAGAGCACCACCACCUUCUCCCUCACGAACCAGCCCCAUCAAGCCAUCAUCUUCCUCUUUUCCUUACCUCUGGUUCAGAUACGAGCACACCACCAACGUCCAGCACCACCGCGAGCACCACCACCACCAGGAUCGACCAAAAACGGCGCCAAACAGAGGAGCUUGAAACCCUAACUUCAGCCACCUUCAAGCUUCUUUCUCUGGCGAACCCCUUAGCUUUUGGAGAAACGAAUACCACCACUGAACUCCCCUCAUCAUCACCUUCAAAACCCCUAAAGAAAUUUCUGAUUCUGACGGAAACCGCCGCCAGCCGCCGUCAACCACCGUCUUCUCCGGCCAACCUUCGCCGGAGAAGGAACUGAACUCAGAAAUAAGGAGCCCUCCUCCUCCUCUUGCUGAAUUGAUUAUCAAUUUUGGUUUUGUGUUAUUGCUGUCAGCCUUGAUGAUCACGCUUGGAGAGGGCAGCCAUGACCAGCCAAGGAGAACCCUACCACUGCCUUCAACUUUGAUAGGGGUACGAAGAACGGAAGCACCUUGCAUCGAAGCUACACAAUGGAAUAAAGCGAGUCUACACGGGGAAAGCAAAUACGUGAUUGGAUUGGAGUUGCAACUUAGUAAGAGAGUUGGCUAAGACGACGAAAGUAGGUGAUGUGAGCAAACGCUACUCCACGUGGAAGAACUAUAGAAGACUCGAAGGAUAGAGUCAGGUGUAGGGCUUGAGCCUUUGGGUAGAAAGGCUUACCGUUAUUGGUUUAAGCUUGCAGGAUCAUUUUAUGAUUUGUAUUUAAGGUUUCGGGUAGGUUCCGGUGCAUUGCUUUCCUAUGGUUACCCCGUGUGGAAAUCAUAGGGAGUAUAUCGGAUCUAUGGAGUCAUUGCAUAGGGAGCCCGUUGUUGGAUCUUAGUUUAUUUGUCAUGUAUUUUAUGUUGUGCCUUGAUCGAGGCCAGAUGUAAAUUAUUUACGGUUGGGAGUAUGCAUUACAUAUUUUAGAAACACUUCGAAAAGGAAAAAAAAUACUCACAUUUAUAAAUCCCUUUUGGAAAAGAUUGCAUAUUUACUAUAACAUGCUACUACCGUGGCACCCGAAAAUUGGGGUGUUACAUAUACGCCAAAAAGCACCUCUACAGGUUAAUAGUUGGAGAGAUAUGCUUCCGAACGAAGUAGAUACAAUGUGGAAACAUAUGAAGGUUAGUAUAUCAUUAUCAUAGAUUAGCUUUAUUUUUCAGAUUGAUAGUAGCAGUGUUUAUAUUAGCUUAUUUAACACAGUUGGAAUCAGUGUUUCAACUUGGUGAAUGUGUGAUCUGUUCUUUGUACAUUCGAGAUAGAGAUUUGAACAUAUUUGACAAUGAAGUAGAAAUUGAAAUUUUUUAAAAAAAAAACAGCAUAAUAAAAGGACCCUAACAACUUCAGCAUAAUAAAAGGUUCUACUUUUUCUUUUAUUGGCCUUGAAGGUAUUUGUUGGCCCUCCUAGUGUUCUGUCUGUAUUUGCACAUGAGUUUUUACUCUCAUGGUUCUCUUUUAUCCAAUUAAGUGUUUUGUUUCAAAAAUAAAUUUAACUUAUUCAUAUAAUGAUACUAUUAGACUGGGCGAGACCCCAGGGCCCCUCGCCUAGGGGACUCAGCCUUAGGCGCGGAACAUGCCUGGACCUUGGGCCGUUCUCCCCAAGGCCCAACCGGCCCAUUUAGACAGAUUAAAGGCACGAAGGCCCAACCCCAAAUCUAUAAAUAGGCGACGGUUACCAAUUGUAAGGGACUCUUGGCUCAUUUGGCAAUAACAAUAUUGAAAUUCAGUUAUAUUUUCUCUCUCUAAGCAGUUAAGAGCUCAUCUCUCUAAAAUCUCCGAUCACAUUCCACACACUCUUGGCACUAUGCCUUGAUUCUAUGUUCUUGGCGAGAACAUUGACACCGUCUGUGGGGAAAACAUUAAACCAUGCGUAAAACACAAAGAUAAGUAAAAGCUGAAAUGAGUCAACUUAAAGUUAAAAUACAGUAAUCCAAAUAAAUAAAGAAGCAUUGUUUUUAUCUAUGUUUUCAUUUCUGGUUGAACAACAUCUCCUAAGUUAACGCCAGCAACCCCCGGGGGGUCUUCAGCACCUUCCAGCCCAGCGGGUGUAAUCUUCUUGAAAACUCCCUAAGAGUCAAGGUUGACAUCAGGAUGAAGAUGCUUGACUUGAGCCUUGGCGAUCAGGAAGCCCCGGAUGCGUUCAACAACUGCUGUCUAGGCUGCGUCGUUCUUCAUUUGCUCCUCCAGAAUCUUGGUUUGAGCAUCCUUCUCGGCCAGGAGUUUGCACUUGGACUCUAGAUCAGAGCGAGCGUUGGUAAGAGCCUUGCGCCUAUCCGAUAAAUCCUUGCGCAGCUGGGCAAUCUCUUCUUCCUUGCUGGAAAGAUCUUUCUCUUGAGCAGCAAGGGCGGCAUCUUUAGCAUCAAGGGCCUGCUUGAGUUAGUUAAUCUUGGUUUCCAGAUGCUCUUCUUUCUCAUCCGUCGCGGCCCGCGCCAGCUUCGCCUCAGCAAGUUUCUUUUGCAUCUUUGACGUCUUCUCUACUUCAGAAGCUAGCUGGCGGUGUAGGUUGGAGCAAGUUUCAUCGAAUCGAAGGUUGGCGGCGCGCAGAGUCUCCACUUCCUGGCGAAGCUCAGCAGUGCCAGAUAAGGGUCGAGCCUGCCGGGCUACCUGAGCAAACAGGCAACCCGUGCGGAGAAGAUUCGACACAGCUUCCUGAGCCACAUCUUGCGGAUUCUGGCUGGGAAUUUCCCUCAAUUUCUCAAGAUAUGAAUGAGAAAGAAGGAAGGAAAAUGGAUCGGGGUUGGAGUCGCUGGAGGGCCCUUCGGGCGAUCGGGCGAGAGUUCGUCCUCCUCAUUGACAUUCAUUGGAGAAGGAGGGGUUGGUAAAACAUUGGUGGGAGAGUUAAGGCAGUUGCCAGACGGCGAGGUGUGAGUUGUAGCAGAGGCGCUCGCCUCGCCCUGGUGAUCAGCUGCAGGAGACUUGCCCGCAUCUGAAGAGGUACAAGGGGCGGGAAUGAUGCCCUCUUCACCAAAAACAGGGGAGAUAACGGAGGGAUUUGCCUCGCUCGCCUUAUUCUUCUUUAGGGCACCUUUGUCCGCUGGCGAGCCCUGUCUUUUCUCCCCAGCACAGGCAGAGGGGGAGGCUUUAGAGCUGUUAAGAACAAAGGCAUUCAACAACUCAGCGGUAGAGAACUUCAUCGUUUUACCUGAAAAAGGAAAAGAAAAACAGUCAUCAGGGGGAAAAGCGAGGAAGAAAGUAAGCAACAAACAUACAGGAAUCAGGACCUAAUCGGGGAAGCAAUUUAGAUCCUGGGGGGGCAUUAAGCAGGUCAAUACAAUUUAAGAGCGGAAGUUGAAGUAAGGUUUCCAGGGUGAUAAUGUCUCGGGGAGAAUGAGACACGGUAUGGGGGCCAUUUAAAGAUCGAGGGGACGAGGUCCAGUAAAGAGGGAAGAGGGUUUCUCCUCCCCUCUCCGUGAAUAAUGAGGGGUAAGCAGGAUGGAUGACGACUCGGAAGUAUCUCCGAGCAAGAUAAGAUUCUGAGCCCGCCCCGUAAGGGACAAAUCGUUCUCGACCGGGCCAAGGGACCAAGACGACCCAACCUUGAGAUCCUCGAAGAUCCACCUCAAAAAGGAGGGGAAAAGGGGCAGGAGAAGGCGCAACAUCAACACUGUGGCAAAGGAUCUCGAAACAUCGUAGGUAGGCCCAGGAGCAGGGGUGAAGUUGGCAAGGGGAAGAGUGGCGAAGGUUGCCAAGCGGUGAGCCUUGAUUUCCUCGAGAGAGGACAGAGCCCCUGUGGAGAACAUCAAAAAUAAGAAGGAGAAGAGAAAAGAACUAACCAUAGGUGGGGUUGUGGACGAAAGAGCAGGGAGCAGAGCAAGGGAUUCGCAGGAUUAGUAAGGGAAGCCGGCACAGGAAUCAGGAGCGAGUGAGGAGAUAGUUAACAAGGAAAGAGGGGAAAUGUGGGGAAGAGAAUUUAAAGGAUGGGAAAGUAGAAGGUAAAGGCAGCGUGUUAGGCGAAAAGUUGUAGCCGUUAAUGCUGAUUGGUUCAAAUUCAAAAAUGUCAGGGUGAUCGAGGCCGUACCCGAUACAAAUAAUUAAUUUAGAAAACUGUAGUAACUAGGAAGUGACUCCUAGGUCGUUUCCCAAGGAUUAUCGUUUCAAUAAAGACUCAGAAUUAAGAACGCACAACGCACACACACUGGGGGGAGGGGGGUUUUGUGAUUCAGUUCAAAAGAUUAGCAGAAAGUAAAAACAGAUUAAUAUGAUAAGUAAAGACGGACGAAUCCCUUUGUUCAGUAUAUCGCUGCUCAAUCACGGGUAUCUAAAGAUCAAUUCUUGUUAUUAGUUUCCUAGUUCGUGAGAAUUAAUUAACUAAGCGAUAACUAAUUCACAGACUCCUAAACUAAGCGAUUAAGAAUCGUUUACUCCCUAAUAUGAACUAAGCGAACAUACAUCAUCUUCUAUUUCGUGAGCAAAAGGAAUUAAACAAACCUAAGCCAGAAUUAGAGAUGAAGAAAACUAAUCAGUUGAAUUUUAUUAAGCACUAUACCUCAAGAGCGCGAUAUACUUUGCAAAGGAAUUCGUUCGAAAGGAAUUAGCCUUCCAUGGAUGGGGCGAAUUCAACAAUUAUAUUGGAGAAGAGAAUAGGGAUUAAGAGCAUAAAACCCUAGCAGAGCUCUAAUAUAACUGAAAUUCGAAAAUUGAAUAAAAUAAUAAUGUAGAAGGUAAAAGGUCAUUGUUUCUCUCAGCACAAACCCUUAAAUAAGAGUUGAGAUCACAAAUCCUAAUCAAAAUCAAAUCCUAAAAGAUAACAAUAAAUCCUAAUAAAUCCUAAAAAUAGAGUUUUAAAAUAACAACCUAAAUAAGUUUGAAUCUGAAAGAUAUCAAACUUAAUUUAUUCCGAAAUUAAAUCCUAAUAAUUCCUAAAAUACAAUCUUCACUCCAGCACAAUCAAAUCUUCAUUCCGCAAAUCUCCAAAAUGCCCUUGAUGUCAAAUAAAACCUGAAAAUAAGAAUAAACGUAAUUAGACCAAAUAAUAGAAAUCUCUGUCAAGCAAGGUUAAUUAAUUACGAAUAAUCAUUAAUAAUGACAAAUUAAGGCUAUAUAAAAUGGGUAAAAUAUUGCUCAUCACAGGGUUUGACGUGGCGCAUUAAAUGGAAGGCACCGUAAAGGAAGCUUAUUUGUUGAAAUUCGGGUUGGCAGGGUUCGCUGAAGAUUCGAAAAGACAUUUCAAAAGUGGCAGUUGAGAUUCAGUGGAUUUGCUGACUUAAAAACUACUUCAGGGCGCAACGCGUGGCGAACGCACGACACCUGUCAAAGUGUCAUGAUUUAGGGCACGUGCGCAGUGCUGGCAAGGCGAGCAGGUCAAGUGUCAUCGCCCUGGGGCUGCUUGUGGACUCAGUUUGCCUAGGAAAGGGGUGGUGCAGCGAAAAGUUUGGAAUACGAAGAUUUUUUGACUUUAUUCUCCCUGCCAUGUUGGCAAUUGUUUUUUCAUUUUGUUAAAAACUUUAGGUUUUAUCAUUGUUUAGUCUUUCAUAGUCCUCGCCUUGGUUUCUUCUGUUUAAAGACACACUUAGCUCUCAUGCUUCGAGCUCGGUAUCUUGUGGACUUGUGGACUGGGCGAGACCUCAGGAUCCCUCGCCCAGGGGACUCAGCCUUAGGCGCGGAACAUGCCUGGACCUUGGGCCGCUCUCCCCAAGGCCCAACCAGCCCAUUUAGACAGAUUAAAUGCACGAAGACCCAACCCCAAAUCUAUAAAUAGGGGACGGUUACCAAUUGUAAGGGACUCUUGGCUCAUUUGGCAAUAACAAUAUUGAAAUUCAUUUAUAUUUUCUCUCUCUAAGCAGUUAUGAGCUCAUCUCUCUAAAAUCUCCGAUCACAUUUCACACACUCUUGACACUAUGCCUUGAUUCUAUGUUCUUGGCGAGAACAACUAUUCUUGUUUGUAAUUCAUAUAUAUAUAUAUAUAUAUGACUAUAGGAAAAAUUAGAUUUGUCUGAGGAGGUUAUAGAUCAUGCAAUGAAUCAAGUACAAAGUCAAUACAAGAAUCGACAGUUCGACACCACUAUUUGCACAAUGCAUAUCUUGCAAAUAGGAUAAGCCAAAUGAUGUGUCAAUAGAGGAUUGGAAUUGGCUGAUAAAAAAUAAAUGGAAUGAUCCCAAAUUUCAGGAAUGGAGCUUGAAAAAUAAAGCUAACCGGAGUAAGCAGGGAAUUAAGUCCAUAAUUGGCACAAAAUCAAUUGUGCAAACAUCAUUUGAAAUGAAAGAAGCUUCAGAAAAUGAUGAUUGGCCAAGAUGCUGUGACACUAUGGAAGGCUACGCAUAUGAGAUCUAACGGAACAUGGUGCAUUCCAAAUGGAGAACAAAUUAUGGAAAAUUUGAAGAAUGUGGGUGAGUUUUAUUAAGAGGAAAUUUCAAAUGCUCAAGUACCAUUAGCUCAACAUUUUAAAUAUGGAUUGGGGGCAAAGAGAAACCACUUGACAGGUAUAGGUAGUGCACCAAUAACAAAAAAGAUAAACAAACAAGUCAUUCAACUCAAGUUGAGAAUGCACAAAAACGAGCAAAUGAUUUGGAGAUGGAAGUGCAAAAACUAAAUGAUAUUAUAAAAAGGCAAGAGGAGACUAAUAUCCAGCUUCACAAUGAAUUGGAAUCACAUCGUGGUUUGAUUGAUGCUCAAAAAGCUGCCUUUGAAACUCAAGAAGAUAAAAUGAAGCAACUUCUUGAAAAGGAGGUGAAACAGCAAAUUGCUGCAUUAUUGUCAUUCAAUGGACUAUCUAGCAACUCAAGUGCGCUUCAACUAGUAAGGAUCCAAAUCCAUGAAGACAUUUAUAAUAAUUUAUAUAUUUUGGACUGGUUUAAUCAAGUGUUGUUAGUGUUCUUUCCCCUGCUAUCUUGUUGGUGUUGCUUCCUUUGGUUUUUUCAUUCUUGCCCAAUUCUCUUUGGCUCUAGCACGGGUGAUCUUCACUCCGUUGGAAGCUGUUUGGUGUUCUGCUAGCUUAGGUUGUAGUUCUUUGUGUUUUAUCUUUCGUGUGCUGUAGCAUCUAAAUUGUUGUUUUCUAUUUUGUCUUUCGGUUGUUGUUUUUAGGAUUUAGAAUUUAGGAUUAUAUUGUAUUUUAAUUUUUAUCCUUCAAUAUGUAAUGGAUAAUUUUUUUAAUGCUAUAUUUUUUUUUUGUUAA